AGUUUUUUAUUUUAUAUCAAAUUUUAUAUGUAAAAUUUUUAUAUUAUAGAUCUUUUAUGAUAGCUUAAAUCUGAUUUAAAAUAUGUAUAGAAGAUUAAAAUAUUUAAUCUUUUAUUUUUUUGCUGUAAAAUUUUAAAAGUACAUACUUUGAACUAUCCAUUUUUCCUUUAAUCUCCAUGAAAAUCAGAUUCCCAUCCCCGU
rnacentral:lncRNA from 1 species